CUGAGGAGAAACUGCCUGUCAACACGCAAGCUCUCCCACAGUCGGAAGAGACUCACUAUGACCUGUCCCAAGGAAAGGUAGAUCCAGACACUGACCCACACCCCGGGACAGGCGACCUGAGCCUUCUUCCGGAAUGAACUUGUCUGCACCGUGUUCUAACUCUGGCACAUGCUCGCUUCCCUGGGGAAGUCACAUGUGAGUGACUCACCCACUCGCUCCGCUGGAACACAGUUUCAUUUUACAUCCCACAAGGACAGAUUUAACUUCCGGUCUUCAGGGGUAGUGAAGGGUGUGAGCAGGCACCACCCAAGGAGGAAGGCUCUCAAAGCUGCCAACGACGUGGCAACAGAGACUGUCUACUCUUUCUUGGAACUUCCUUCCUUCGUGAGACAAGUUUCACUGGAGUGAUGGGUUUGGAGAUGGGGAUGCAGGCAUUUCCAAACCUUUACUCAGAGACAGGAUAUAUAAGAGAAAGCUGAUUCACUCCCUCUCCAGCCGGGGGCAAGAGGAACACAGAGUGGACUUUCCGAGACGGACCAGAGUCUCACUGAGGUGUCCUGAGCACCCGGUCACUCUGUCCACAGCAGCUGGAUGGACACCUGCUCCGUGCACACUUUCAUUCUACUCCUACACCCUUCAGAAUGGAGGAUUACCACCCAUGCCUGUCUGUUCAAGAACAAUCUAUCAUCAAAACUCCUGCAGGCCACUGAGAGCUACCUCACUACACUUGCUGGGGAGGACUCUCCAGCCUUCCCCAGCGUCAUCACCAGCUUCCAGCUGCCCUCAAUCCCAGGAAGCAGUCUUGUUCCUCCACAGCAGCUUCCUUACUGUUGAGAGGCUUGAAGCAUCAGGAAAGCUGAGCUUACGGUCCAUACCCCGCUCUCUGCAGCAAGAGGGAGUUUAUUUUUAAAUAAAUAUUGACCCUUGAGUUGCAU